CCUAGGGGUGGCAGCAGUAGGGAAUAUUGCACAAUGGGGGAAACCCUGAAGCAGCAACGCCGCGUGGAGGAUGAAGGUUUUCGGAUUGUAAACUCCUUUUGUUAGAGAAGAUAAUGACGGUAUCUAACGAAUAAGCCCCGGCUAACUCCGUGCCAGCCGCCGCGGUCAUACGGAGGGUGCAAGCGUUACCCGGAAUCACUGGGUGUAAAGAGCGCGUAGGCGGGAGGGCAAGUCAGAUGUGAAAUCCUAUGGCUUAACCAAAGGACUGCAUUUGAAACUGUUAGGCUAGAGUAUGGGAGAGGUAGGUGGAAUUCUUGGUGUAGGGGUAAAAUCCGUAGAGAUCAAGAGGAAUACUCAUUGCGAAGGCGACCUGCUAGAACAUGACUGACGCUGAUGCGCGAAAGCGUGGGGAGCAAACAGGAUUAGAUACCCUAGUAGUC
rnacentral:rRNA from 1 species